rnacentral:rRNA from 1 species
UCAGGGGUAAACCUGAGAAACCCAAAAGAUCGAAUGGGGAGAUUCAUCGUCAGCGAUUUUGGCAUAUGUGCGGUUCGCGAUGCCGGAAAUUUCGAUAUCCGGGCACGCGUCCGCAUGUUUAUUUUAUUGCCUUAAACGUCGGCGUGCACUUCUCCCCUAGUAGGACGUCGCGACCCGUUGGGUGUCGGUCUACGGCUCGGGCGGUAGCCUGUCUCCGUGUUCGCUUCGCGGCGAUACGCGGGUUCAGACCCCCGGUUGCCCGACCGGCUGCUCGGCGGUACGCGCACGGUAUCUGGCCGCAAAUAUUCGAACUGCGUCCGGCCCGUUGCAAGCGAGGCAAGUGUUAUCCCGGCUGUACGGAUUUAAUGCCGUCACCGGGCCUUGCCAGUUGUUGGUUGACGGUGUCCUAGGACAGGCAAUAAUAAUUUACGAUACCGGUCGGCGACGCUACUGCUUUGGGUACUUUCAGGACCCGUCUUGAAACACGGACCAAGGAGUCUAACAUGUGCGCGAGUCAUUGGGUAUUAUUUUAAGCCUAAAGGCGCAAUGAAAGUGAAGGUCGGCCUUGCGCCGACCGAGGGAGGAUGGGCCGCGUCACGAUGCGGUCCCGCACUCCCGGGGCGUCUCGUUCUCAUUGCGAGAAGAGGCGCACCCAGAGCGUACACGUUGGGACCCGAAAGAUGGUGAACUAUGCCUGGUCAGGACGAAGUCAGGGGAAACCCUGAUGGAGGUCCGUAGCGAUUCUGACGUGCAAAUCGAUCGUCGGAACUGGGUAUAGGGGC